CCUCCCAGCAGCUGUGUGUGUGACACUGGGACCAUGAUGGGAAUUCCACCCAGAGCAGCUACUACACUCCUGAACAGACUCAGCCUGGCUGGUCACCACUGGAGAGGAGUAUCUUCCCAGACUCUAACAUCCCGUUUUACCUCAGGGCCUCCUGAUCUAACAGAAAACCCUGCUAAAUGAACCCAAGAAAUCUGCUGUCAGACUGAUUGUUGCAGCUACAAAUGGUUCAGACUAACAUGAAGCCUUGCAGGUAUAGUAAAGGUGAGUUGUUUUUAAUCAUCAUGUACAGCCUUUGAGUUUUAACAUCAUCUAUGUUUUAGUUUCAUAGCUUAUUGCUACACGUGUUGCUGCUGUGAGCUUUGAGCUAGAUUACAUCAUGACACGUGGUGCGGCUGUGGCACAGGAGUUAAGUGCUCGCCCCAUAAUCGUAAGGUUGUAGGUUCGAGUCCCGCUCAGUCUGUGGCUGUCGUUGUGUCCUUGGGCAAGACACUUAACCCACGUUGCCUGCUGGUGGUGGUCAGAGGGACCGGUGGCGCCAGUGCUCGGCAGCCUCGCCUCUGUCAGUGCGCCCCAGGGCAGCUGUGGCUACAUCGUAGCUCAUCCCCACCAGUGUGUGAAUGUGUGUGUGAAUGGGUGAAUGACUGAUUGUGUUGUAAAGCGCCUUGGGGGGUUCCAGGACUCUAGAAGGCGCUAUAUCAAAUACAAGCCAUUUACCAUUUACCAUUUACAUCAUGAAGGAGACUACUGAUUCUGGUCCUGUGACACUUGGUGGUGACGUGUGAGCUGAUUCACUUGGUAAAUAACUUUUACAUUAAAUAUUUUGUUUUUGCUAUCAAAAGGAAAUUAACUAACAACCUGCAUUAUUGUAGGACACUCAGCAAAAUAUGGAUGCUACACCAUGAGGCAGGCAUGUGUUAAUAUUCUAUAAGAGCACAUAAGGUGAGCAACACCACAAUUAUUUUUAUUACUGUACACUGUCCUGGAUUUGUUUUCUUUCUGCAUCUCAUAAUUAGCCUGGCUGAUCACCUGAUAACUCCUGUCAUCUGGUUAUGACAGCAUGAGGAUGUCCUCACACACCUGUAACCUAUCAGCUCAUCUGGCAGAAUAGAGAGAGAAGAGACAACACCACAUCUCCUGUUCCUGGAAAGCCUUCAGCCAUCCUUCGAUGACUGAGAACCUCCAUCAGCUCUGUCUCCUGUCUGCCUACAAUUAUUAUAAUAAAUAUUGUGUUUGACAAGUUCUUUGUGCUUCCAAAAUGUCUCAUUUUAAUUCCAGUUAUUAUAUUUUAAUGGAUAUUUAAAAAUUACUUGUAUUGAAUUAUCACUUUGUUGCACGUUUAACUAGCUCUAAUGUGAUUAAUUAAACUAGCAACUCACUGUUAAAAGCUCGUUUGAAAUUCAGGUGUGUUUAAAUAUUUAUGGACAUGAACAAAACCAGAAAAUAUAUAUAAAUUAAGAUUUAUUUAAAUAAUAUAACAAAUAACUGAUGAGAGGGGGAAGGAAUCAUUCGAAGGCACAUUCUUCUGGAAGCUCCUGAUCCUGACGACACCACCAGAGGAGACCACCUGCAGACACUUGAGGAUCACCUACGACCAAGAGAAAGCUGGUAUCAGUAAAUAAUUAAAUCAGGGCAAUUUUAGGUGGAUGUUUGUGAUUGUGUAACAAAUGAACACACUUCAGAAUUUUCUCAUGGGGUAUUUUUAUAACCUUCUCUGCAGCAGAGAGUAACUUUAGCCCAGGGUAGGUGGCCGUGUCCUAGAGAGCUGCUAUCCAGCACGUUUCGGUGGUUUUCCUGCUUUAACAGGUCAGAGUAGCUGU
rnacentral:lncRNA from 1 species